UAACGCGUAAGCAACCUGCCCCAUACCGGGGGAUAGCCUGGCGAAAGCCGGGGUAAACCCGCAUAGUCCCUUUCUGUUUCAUGACAGGCCGGGUAAACAUUUAUGGGUAUGGGAGGGGCUUGCGUCUGAUUAGUUAGUUGGCGGGGUAACGGCCCACCAAGACAGUGAUCAGUAGGGGUUCUGAGAGGAUUGGCCCCCACAUGGGUACUGAGAUACGGACCCAACUCCUACGGGAGGCAGCAGUAGGGAAUAUUGGGCAAUGGAGGCAACUCUGACCCAGCCAUGCCGCGUGCAGGAUGAAGGCGCUCAGCGUCGUAAACUGCUUUUAUCUGGGAAGAACUGUGGUCCUGCGGGAUUAUUUGACGGUACCAGAGGAAUAAGCACCGGCUAACUCCGUGCCAGCAGCCGCGGUAAUACGGAGGGUGCAAGCGUUGUCCGGAUUUAUUGGGUUUAAAGGGUGCGCAGGUGGGUAUUUAAGUCUGGUUUGAAAGCAGGUGGCUCAACCAUCUGAUGUGGCUGGAAACUGGAUAUCUUGAAUGGGUUGGCGGUAGCCGGAAUGGGUCAUGUAGCGGUGAAAUGCAUAGAUAUGACCCGGAACACCGAUUGCGAAGG
rnacentral:rRNA from 1 species